rnacentral:rRNA from 1 species
GCUCUUAUGAAGUUAGCGGCGGACGGGUGAGUAACACGUGGGUAACCUACCCAUAAGACUGGGAUAACUCCGGGAAACCGGGGCUAAUACCGGAUAAUAUUUUGAACUGCAUAGUUCGAAAUUGAAAGGCGGCUUCGGCUGUCACUUAUGGAUGGACCCGCGUCGCAUUAGCUAGUUGGUGAGGUAACGGCUCACCAAGGCAACGAUGCGUAGCCGACCUGAGAGGGUGAUCGGCCACACUGGGACUGAGACACGGCCCAGACUCCUACGGGAGGCAGCAGUAGGGAAUCUUCCGCAAUGGACGAAAGUCUGACGGAGCAACGCCGCGUGAGUGAUGAAGGCUUUCGGGUCGUAAAACUCUGUUGUUAGGGAAGAACAAGUGCUAGUUGAAUAAGCUGGCACCUUGACGGUACCUAACCAGAAAGCCACGGCUAACUACGUGCCAGCAGCCGCGGUAAUACGUAGGUGGCAAGCGUUAUCCGGAAUUAUUGGGCGUAAAGCGCGCGCAGGUGGUUUCUUAAGUCUGAUGUGAAAGCCCACGGCUCAACCGUGGAGGGUCAUUGGAAACUGGGAGACUUGAGUGCA